rnacentral:lncRNA from 1 species
GACUUGACGCUGGAGAGUCUAAGUGAUGAGGAGAUUCAUCCAGGGUGAAGCCCUUCUGUGGAGCUGACCAGGGUGCUGACCCAAAGGGCAGGCCAGCGCGUGCUGCAGGACGCCCAGCUUUGCCCUGGAGGUCUCAAUCCUCUCUACAUUCUGAGGAAAACUCUUGGCCCCAGCAGAGGGCAAAAGUCCAAGGCCGCCUCCCACCCACCGCCAGCACUGGGUUUGGCCUGUACCAUCCAGGACCCAGUGCUUCUGGGCCUGGCAUUUCUCCUUUGGCAAAAGAGUGAGAAGAGACGUGACUGUGCUCCAUGAGCAGAAAGUGCCAUUCCAACUUGAAAUAAAGAGACUGAGCGCA